ACGAACGCUGGCGGCGUGCCUAAUACAUGCAAGUCGAACGCUUCUUUCCUCCCGAGUGCUUGCACUCAAUUGGAAAGAGGAGUGGCGGACGGGUGAGUAACACGUGGGUAACCUACCCAUCAGAGGGGGAUAACACUUGGAAACAGGUGCUAAUACCGCAUAACAGUUUAUGCCGCAUGGCAUAAGAGUGAAAGGCGCUUUCGGGUGUCGCUGAUGGAUGGACCCGCGGUGCAUUAGCUAGUUGGUGAGGUAACGGCUCACCAAGGCCACGAUGCAUAGCCGACCUGAGAGGGUGAUCGGCCACACUGGGACUGAGACACGGCCCAGACUCCUACGGGAGGCAGCAGUAGGGAAUCUUCGGCAAUGGACGAAAGUCUGACCGAGCAACGCCGCGUGAGUGAAGAAGGUUUUCGGAUCGUAAAACUCUGUUGUUAGAGAAGAACAAGGACGUUAGUAACUGAACGUCCCCUGACGGUAUCUAACCAGAAAGCCACGGCUAACUACGUGCCAGCAGCCGCGGUAAUACGUAGGUGGCAAGCGUUGUCCGGAUUUAUUGGGCGUAAAGCGAGCGCAGGCGGUUUCUUAAGUCUGAUGUGAAAGCCCCCGGCUCAACCGGGGAGGGUCAUUGGAAACUGGGAGACUUGAGUGCAGAAGAGGAGAGUGGAAUUCCAUGUGUAGCGGUGAAAUGCGUAGAUAUAUGGAGGAACACCAGUGGCGAAGGCGGCUCUCU
rnacentral:rRNA from 1 species